UGCCAGCCGCCGCGGUAAUACAGAGACUCCAAGCGUUAUUCGGAUUCACUGGGCGUAAAGGGUGCGCAGGCGGUCAGAUGUGUCAGGUGUGAAAUACUGCAGCUUAACUGUAGAACUGCACUUGAAACUAUCUGACUAGAGUAUCGGAGAGGUAAGCGGAAUUCCAGGUGUAGCAGUGAAAUGCGUAGAUAUCUGGAGGAACACCAAUGGCGAAGGCAGCUUACUGGACGAUUACUGACGCUCAGGCACGAAAGCAUGGGGAGCGAAAGGGAUUAGAUA
rnacentral:rRNA from 1 species